UACGUAGGGGGCGAGCGUUGUCCGGAUUUAUUGGGCGUAAAGAGCUUGUAGGCGGUUGCGGAAGUCGGAUGUGAAAUACCGGGGCUCAACUCCGGGGCGCCAUUCGAUACUCCGCUGACUCGAGUCCGGUAGGGGAAGGUGGAAUUCCUGGUGUAGCGGUGAAAUGCACAGAUAUCAGGAGGAACACCGGUGGCGAAGGCGGCCUUCUGGGCCGGUACUGACGCUGAGGCGCGAAAGCGUGGGGAGCAAACAGG
rnacentral:rRNA from 1 species